rnacentral:rRNA from 1 species
GACGUAGGGCGCGAGCGUUGUCCGGAUUUAUUGGCGUAAAGAGCUCGUAGGCGGCUUGUCGCGUCGACUGUGAAAACCCGCGGCUCAACCGCGGCCUGCAGUCGAUACGGGCAGGCUAGAGUUCGGUAGGGGAGACUGGAAUUCCCAGUGUAGAGGUGAAAUUCGUAGAUAUUGGGAAGAACACCGGUGGCGAAGGCGGCUCACUGGCUCGUACUGACGCUCA